rnacentral:rRNA from 1 species
AUAGGUGGCAAGCGUUGUCCGGAAUUAUUGGGCGUAAAGCGCGCGCAGGCGGGGUCCUUUAAGUCUGAUGUGAAAGCCCACGGGCUCAACCGUGGAGGGUCAUUGGAAACUGGGGGACUUGAGUACGGAAGAGGAAAGCGGAAUUCCACGUGUAGCGGUGAAAUGCGUAGAGAUGUGGAGGAACACCAGUGGCGAAGGCGGCUUUCUGGUCUGUAACUGACGCUGAGGCGCGAAAGCGUGGGGAGCAAACAGGAUUAGAUACCCUGGUAGUCCACGCCGUAAACGAUGAGUGCUAAGUGUUAGGGGGUUUCCGCCCCUUAGUGCUGCAGCUAACGCAUUAAGCACUCCGCCUGGGGAGUACGGCCGCAAAGGCUG